rnacentral:tRNA from 2 species
GGGCUCUUAGCUCAGCUUGGUUUAGAGCGCUUCCUUGACGCGGAAGAGGUCACAGGUUCGAAUCCUGUAGAGCCCA